rnacentral:rRNA from 1 species
GCGCACGGGUGAGUAACACGUGGAUCAUCUACCUUUUAGUGGGGAAUACCUCUGGGAAACCGGAGACAAUACCGCAUAAGCCUGUAAAGGGAAAGCAGCAAUGCGCUGAAAGAGGAGUCCGCGGCCGAUUAGCUAGUUGGCGGGGUAACGGCCCACCAAGGCGAAGAUCGGUAGCCGGCCUGAGAGGGCACACGGCCACACUGGCACUGAAACACGGGCCAGACUCCUACGGGAGGCAGCAGUGGGGAAUCUUGCACAAUGGACGAAAGUCUGAUGCAGCGACGCCGCGUGAGCGAUGAAGCCCUUCGGGGUGUAAAGCUCUUUCGACGGGAACGAUAAUGACGGUACCCGGAGAAGAAGCUGCGGCUAACUACGUGCCAGCAGCCGCGGUAAUACGUAGGCAGCGAGCGUUGUUCGGAAUUACUGGGCGUAAAGAGUGUGUAGGCGGUGUUCCCAGUCUGUUGUGAAAUCUCCCGGCUUAACUGGGAGGGUGCAGCGGAAACUAGAAUGCUAGAGGGUGGGAGAGGUAAGCGGAAUUCCUGGUGUAGCGGUGAAAUGC